rnacentral:rRNA from 1 species
AACGAACGCUGGCGGCAUGCCUAACACAUGCAAGUCGAACGAGACCUUCGGGUCUAGUGGCGCACGGGUGCGUAACGCGUGGGAACCUGCCCUUAGGUUCGGAAUAACUCCCCGAAAGGGGUGCUAAUACCGGAUAAUGUCUUCGGACCAAAGAUUUAUCGCCUUUGGAUGGGCCCGCGUUGGAUUAGCUAGUUGGUAGGGUAAAAGCCUACCAAGGCGACGAUCCAUAGCUGGUCUGAGAGGAUGAUCAGCCACACUGGGACUGAGACACGGCCCAGACUCCAACGGGAGGCAGCAGUGGGGAAUAUUGGACAAUGGGCGAAAGCCUGAUCCAGCAAUGCCGCGUGAGUGAUGAGGGCCUUAGGGUUGUAAAGCUCUUUUACCCGGGAUGAUAAUGACAGUACCGGGAGAAUAAGCUCCGGCUAACUCCGUG